GGUGGCACACCUGUGUGUCAUUCCAGUCAUCCCCUGCAGUGCUUUUAAGGAGCAGUGUUGCAGUCAUUCUUUGCCUGAUCCUGCCCCACACAGUUGCUUGGUCUCUGUCAGAUUCCUUUCCAGUCAACUUCAAAGAACUCCAUUGCUGACAUAGCCUUUGGCGGUUAUCGCCCACGGCAGUGAACGCUUGCUCCUCCUGCUUGCCCACUCUCAAUCGCCUCUGUGAAUCCCCAGCAUUCACCCCAGGAUCUCAAUACUUCCCUCCUGGCCAUGCCUGCAUCUUUUCACAAUCACUAAAAACCUACACGUCUGUACCUGAUCUGCUCCACCUUCCAGAAACAACUCAUAUUUAAAUAAGUAUAUGUAACUGUUUGCUGUGUCUCACCGGUUUUCUGCACGUGGGUCAAGCAAAUUCCCCAAUUCAUGUCAUAAACCAAGUUGCUUUGGCCAUAAUUCUAAAGGUAGUCUAUGU